rnacentral:rRNA from 1 species
UACGUAGGGGGCAAGCGUUUGUCCGGAUUUAUUGGGCGUAAAGAGCGUGUAGGCGGCCACACAGGUCAGCUGUGAAAACUCGAGGCUCAACCUCGAGACGUCGGUUGAAACCGUAUGGCUAGAGUCCGGAAGAGGAGAGUGGAAUUCCCGGUGUAGCGGUGAAAUGCGCAGAUAUCGGGAGGAACACCUGUGGCGAAAGCGGCUCACUGGACCGCAACUGACGCUGAGGCGCGAAAGCUAGGGGAGCAAACAGGG